GAACUUUAGCCUGACAAACUGCGUGGCCUUAAGUGAUUCAUUUUUUUUCUUAAAAUCUGCCUAAAUCAACCUUACUCUCAAAACUCGAACUGAACUGAACAGAAAAGUCACAAGGAAGCAAUACACAUAAGGUGUUUAAGUAAAUACUCUCAAAUAUAUUUAAUAAUUAUGAAUAAGAUGAUUAAAAAUGAGGGAGAAGGCCUCUAUUUAUAGUUGAACUCCCCAA
rnacentral:lncRNA from 1 species